ensembl:snRNA U2 U2 spliceosomal RNA
AUCGCUUCUCGGCCUUUUGGCUAAGAUCAAGUGUAAAUUUAAAAUCCAUCAAAAGAAACGAAAAACUUUAUUUUUUUAUUUUUUUGAGACAGAGCCUCAAGCUGUAGCCCUGAGUGCCAUGGCAUCACAGCUCACAGCAACCUCC